rnacentral:rRNA from 1 species
UACGUAGGGCGCAAGCGUUAUCCGGAAUUAUUGGGCGUAAAGAGCUCGUAGGCGGUUUGUCACGUCGGGCGUGAAAACUCACAGCUCAACUGUGGGCGUGCGGGCGAUACGGGCAGACUAGAGUACUGCAGGGGAGACUGGAAUUCCUGGUGUAGCGGUGGAAUGCGCAGAUAUCAGGAGGAACACCGGUGGCGAAGGCGGGUCUCUGGGCAGUAACUGACGCUGAGGAGCGAAAGCGUGGGGAGCGAACAGG